AAACACAGAGCAGAUUACCUCUGAGAGCACCGACGCUGCAAACAGCAAGAAACAUCUCUACAGUUACAGCACUGCACUGUGGCAUGAAGCGCUUCACUCCAAAACCUCACGUCUGCAGCUGGACGCAGCUCAUCUGCUGCCUUUUCUCAGAUUAGCUACAUGUUUUAAAUAGUUUGUCUUCAUAUAAUGACUUGGACUGGGUUUGAUCAUCAAGCAGCACUUAAAGCCCUGAUUAAUGCAUGAUUGGGGUUAGUUUUAUAAACCUUAGUCUGCAUGUCACAGGGACGUUUCACAUCGUCAUUAAACAUCAAGUCAGAAAGGCUCAGUUAAAGUCUAGGAUCGGCUCUCAGUCUAACACAAAAGUUAUAACAAGUAAAUCUGAGGCAGGAGAUCUAACAAAUCAUCAAAUCUCAAUUUGAGGGUCCAACACCGACUGUGAGUAAAAUCUUACACCAAGAGGGUCAAAGUCUUGAACUUGGUCUUGAUUCUGGCUAAGUAAGUCCAAACAUGCUGUGGGCAUGUGAAACAGGUAAUGUUUAAGAAGUCAAACAUCAGAAAUCUCAACUCAAGACUAACCAGAGGGUCCAACAACAGUUUAAGUCCAUAAUUCACUAAAGAUUGGCAACUUCUGCAUCACAGCCAACAUCUGGAGCAAUCAAAGCCACAACAAGCAGCUCCAAGAGCAAGUCUAAUAUCAAGACGUCGGCCUGAUCCUUAGUCAAGACCAGCAACAGAUCCAACGAGACAGACUCUGUUGGACCCGUCCCGUCCUGCGAGUCUGAAACUGAGGUUAGCUCAAGAUACGGUCCGAUAAAUUAAAGUCCUAACAGGAAGGUCCAGGGCACAAAAACUACAACUCAGUCCAACACCAAGAGCGAUUCAUCCAGAGUCAAACCAUUUAGACCUCAGACUUGGUUCAAUGAGUCCACAGUUAUGGUUGACAAGUCCAUGGUGGAGAACAAGACAUGUCAAGACAAAGACAACGUGUCCAGAGUCCAAUCCUCGCUAAAGGAAGGUAGCUUCCAGGUCCAACAAGCAUGAAGUUAUCAGUAAGUCACAGCAGCAGACUGACAAACCAAACCAAGACUAGCAUGUGAAUCUCCGGCCCUAAAACUGGAUUUCCACUCCGUAAGACCAAAAUCCUGAUCUUAUCUGGAAUGAAAUGCUUAGUCAACAUUAGCUGCAUCGUGGUUAGAGCGGUCUAGUCCAACAUGGCUGUAAAUACAGGGAGUGAGUCCAAGACAAGGUACAGCAGUUCAACAAGUCAAUGAGGUUUAAACCCAGACGAUGUCAAGAUCUGGUUAGAAAGUCUAGAGACAAGACCGGGACACAGGCAACGUCCAACGUCCCCAACCAGACGACAGAGACUCACAACACGACCAGCAUUUAGUUUCUGACCUAAAACUUCAUGUACAUCAAUGCCAGGUCAUCCAGAUUCACGUCUUAAGUCAAGAUGAGCAACAUUCAGGUCAGGCCUCACAUAGUCAGUCCCAAAUAAAGACCAACAGGGACAACCUGGGGCCAAUCCUGCCCCAAGUCCAAGUCCUGUCCAAAGAGACCGACGGCAUGGUGAGUAAACCCAAAGCAAAGAUCACGUAUAAAUAAGGCAGGAUCAGCUGAGUUCACCUCAAGACUAAUGGAUCCAGAGUCAAAUCCCAACUGAGUCAAGUUCCAAGUCCGGUCCAACAAGUCCAAAGGUACGGUGAAACCAAGACUGAAGAUCCGAAUCUCUGCCUGGACAGAGCAACGCCACGACUGAUUAAUGCAGACACACGUUCUUAAUCAAGACAGUUUCCUCUCAGUCAAGUCUGCAAAACUGACACCAAGUCAGAAGUAGUCAGGUCCCAAAAUGAUCCAGUCAGGUCCCUAAAAUGAUCCAGUCAGGUCCCAAAAUGAUCUAGUCAGGUCCCCAAAAUGAUCCGGUCAGGUCCCCAAAAUGAUCCAAUCAUGUCCCCAAAAUGAUCCAGUCAGGUCCCAAAAUGAUCCAGUCAGGUCCCCAAAAUGAUCCAGUCAGGUCCCAAAAUGAUCCAGUCAGGUCAAAGGUCGGGUCCAACAAAUCAAAGACAUGAUGACACUAAUAGAGCGACUGGUUUGUCCACGAUGACAAACCUCCAAAUUCAACAUGAAGUCUGAUUUAUACAAGUUACGAUUCCCGAGUCAGGAACCUGUCAGGCUAUGAGGGUUAAGACUUGUCUCACACCUUCAAGUCUCUUUAUUCAGAGUUAAAUUCAAGGUAAAGUCAGGAAACCCGUUUAGCUUUUACUAUCAGGUCAACUAGCCAAAGUCCACAGAGUUCAAUCAGUUCAUUUUGUCUAAAAUCUAAGAGGUCAGAAAGUUGGGAUUGUCUCGAGUUUGUUGGUUGGAAUCUGGAAAGUUUGGGAACAAAUCGUCUCAAAAUCAAGGAUUUCCACAUCAAGGUCGAGUCUGAAUGUUUGUCUGUCUGAAGACUUUAAAACAAACCAUGAAGCAGGUCGUCCGUCCCGCGAGCCGAGUCUCUGGUCCGACAGCAGAGUCACCCUGUGAAAUAAUUCACUCAGGUGUUUCAGGACAGACUCGACUCUCUGACUCGUUUCGAUGAACGCCCAGUCAUCAUAGAAGACAAACACACAGGAGGAGAGAAACUCCUUUCAGGGUCACUUUGGACGAACGUGCCGGUUUAUUCUGGAGUGAAGCGAUCCAUUCAGACUGAAACGUUGCAGAAAACCAUCACACCUAGCCACCACCUGCUCUAGACACGUACAGCAGAAACACAAGCCGAGUUAAAGCGGCGGCUCCUCGGCCAAUCAGAGGCGCCUCACCCUGGCAGAAAACGCCACGAUUUUCAGGAGAAACGCGGGAACGCGACAGUUUUAGUCGUUUUUCUGGUCGGGAUGAAAAGAUCUAAUCUGGAUUAUCAGCAUCGAUAAACGGCUGUGAGGCGCCAUGAAGGAAGAUAAUCGCAUAAAUUAGAGAGAGGAGGCUCUGCUGCUGCCCUCCUUUGUUUCAACGCGCUGACGAAGGAUGCUGCUUCCAAUUCAACAAAAACACGAAACAUAAAAACUACGCCACCAGAAAAACUCAAAUUCACAUUAGAUACAAAGUUUGUCAUUAAUCUGAUGGGUUUGAGAUGCAGGAGGAUGUUGUAGAAAUAUGAGGAUAACUGGAAGGAUAAAAGGAAAAAGUGGGAGAAUUAGAGAAAUAAAUGGUGAUAUUUAGAUUACAGUGCAGCUUUAAGAGCUGGCAGGGAUUUUAUUAGACUUUUAUUAGCCGAUUUAUUGGGACCUGCUGCAAACAACAAGAACAUUUAGGUUUUAACUCUUUAAUAUUAAAAAACUCUUUCAUUUGUUCAGGGUUUUUAAGAAUUGGUCAAUUUGUGGUUAAUUGUAAAAAAUAUAAAAUAAUUUGUGGACAUUUCUCUACAUAUUUUCCUGCAGGCCUCAUUCUAUGUUAAAGGUGUAAUUUGCAACAUUUUCAUUAAAUCGCUUAAAUUGCUUUUCAUUUCCGAUUUGCAUCCGGACGCUUCAUAAUCUGAGCUUUUUCCUGCGAGCUGCGGCGCAUUUCAGGGUGUUUCAGUUUCUCUUUUCCCUCCUCCUCACAAAAGUUGCUCCCAGAGGGGGAGAGGCGCAAAAAAAAAAAAAAAAAAAAACAUGGCAGAGACUCGAUUUCCUGUCCGUCAAGUUCAAAACACAAGCUGCUCAUCACAAACAGAGAG